rnacentral:rRNA from 1 species
AGGACGAACGCUGGCGGCGUGCCUAACACAUGCAAGUCGAGCGAGGAGAUUCCUCGGGAUGAUCCUAGCGGCGGACGGGUGAGUAACACGUGGGCAACCUGCCUCAUAGAGAGGAAUAGCCUUCCGAAAGGGAGAUUAAUACCUCAUAACAUUGCAGUUUCGCAUGGAACAGCAAUUAAAGGAGCAAUCCACUAUGAGAUGGGCCCGCGGCGCAUUAGCUAGUUGGUGAGGUAACGGCUCACCAAGGCGACGAUGCGUAGCCGACCUGAGAGGGUGAUCGGCCACAUUGGGACUGAGACACGGCCCAGACUCCUACGGGAGGCAGCAGUGGGGAAUAUUGCACAAUGGGGGAAACCCUGAUGCAGCCAACGCCGCGUGAGUGAUGACGGCCUUCGGGUUGUAAAGCUCUGUCUUCAGGGACGAUAAUGACGGUACCUGAGGAGGAAGCCACGGCUAACUACGUGCCAGCAGCUGC